CGUCGCAGCUAGCUCUCUGCAACUCUCACAUGGUCACUCACUGAAGCUAAGCAGGGCUGCGCCUGGUCAGUACUGGGAUGGAGACCACAUGGGAAAGCUAGGUUGCUGUUGAAA
rfam:Danio rerio chromosome 6 genomic contig CTG531, GRCz11 reference primary assembly.